rnacentral:RNase_P_RNA from 1 species
GAUGAUCGCGGAGGCUUUUGAGCCUAUGAGGAACUUCCGGGCUCCGCAGAGCACGACGGCAGGUAACACCUGCCCAGGGAAACCUGAGAGAUAGCGCAGCAGAGAACAGACCGCCUCAUCAGAGGUAAGGGUGAAACGGCGGUGUAAGAGACCACCGGGUUACUGGUAACAGCAACCGCAUGGCAAGCCUCGUCGGGAGAAAGACCAAAUAGAAGGCAAUGGGGCUGCUCGUCCCGUCUUCGGGUAGGUCGAUGGAGCUUAUUCGUGAGGGUAAGCCUAGAUGGAUGAUCAUCCGCGCUUCGGCGCGACAGAACCCGGGGUAUGAG